ACCCUUUUCUUUCUGCCCGUGGACGCCGCCGAAGAAGCAUCGUUACAGUCCCUCUUCUCCCUGCGAUCAUGUCUAAGUCAGAGUCUCCUAAAGAGCCGGAACAGCUGAGGAAGCUCUUCAUUGGAGGGUUGAGCUUUGAAACAACCGAUGAGAGCCUGAGGAGCCAUUUUGAGCAAUGGGGAAUGCUCACAGACUGUGUGGUAAUGAGAGAUCCAAACACCAAGCGCUCCAGGGGCUUUGGGUUCGUCACAUAUGCAACUGUGGAGGAAGUGGAUGCAG